rfam:Chryseobacterium sp. Leaf394 contig_2, whole genome shotgun sequence.
CCCUAGCCCUGAUGGGAACGGCAUCCUUUUUUGUCAUUGCGAUUGCUGAUAAGUUCAAUUGAUAACUUCACUUCGUUCGCAAUGACAAAAAAGAUAUAGUGGACAGCAGGUUCCCGG